rnacentral:rRNA from 1 species
UACGGGGGGGGUAAGCGUUGUUCGGAAUUACUGGGCGUAAAGGGCUCGUAGGCGGCCAACUAAGUCAGACGUGAAAUCCCUCGGCUUAACCGGGGAACUGCGUCUGAUACUGGAUGGCUUGAGUUUGGGAGAGGGAUGCGGAAUUCCAGGUGUAGCGGUGAAAUGCGCAGAUAAUCAGGAAGAACACCCGUGGCGAAGGCGGCUCUCGUGGGACGGUACUGACGGCUGAGACGCGAAAGCGUGGG